AUUGAACGCUGGCGGCAUGCCUUACACAUGCAAGUCGAACGGUAACAGGUCUUCGGAUGCUGACGAGUGGCGAACGGGUGAGUAAUACAUCGGAACGUGCCUAGUAGUGGGGGAUAACUACUCGAAAGAGUGGCUAAUACCGCAUGAGAUCUACGGAUGAAAGCAGGGGAUCGCAAGACCUUGUGCUACUAGAGCGGCCGAUGGCAGAUUAGGUAGUUGGUGGGAUAAAAGCUUACCAAGCCGACGAUCUGUAGCUGGUCUGAGAGGACGAUCGGCCAACGGGGGAUUGGGACAGGGCCGAGACUCCUAGGGGAGGCGGGAGUGGGAAUUUGGGACAAUGGGCGAAAGCCUGAUCCAGCAAUGCCGCGUGCAGGAUGAAGGCCUUAGGGUUGUAAACUGCUUUUGUACGGAACGAAAAGCCCUGGGUUAAUACCCUGGGGUCAUGACGGUACCGUAAGAAUAAGCACCGGCUAACUACGUGCCAGCAGCCGCGGUAA
rnacentral:rRNA from 1 species